UUGAAUUUAUUUGCUGAGGUUUCCAUAUGUAUUUGCUUAACAUUAUAUUAUUAUAUAGACAGAGUAAAAUUCCUCUUUUAAUUGGGUUGGAGUACCAUAUGUGGCCGCCUAGGCAGAGGGGCCGUGAAAGAAUUUUCCUGUCUAGAUUGUUUGAGGGACACUUCAGGAAAGAUAGCUGCCAGACAGGUUUUUCACUUUCACACUCUAUUAAAUAUUGCUGUAUUGUUAAGAUUAUGUUGGAGGAAUUAUCAUUUUUGACACCAUUGUACACAUGUUUGUUCAUAUUCGGUUUAUCGGGACUUUAACUAGUCCCGAAGGGGGGAAUAUGAGGUGUCUGCUGUUAGAUGCAGCAUAUUUAUAUAGAUGGUUUGUAUUAGGAGAGUAUAUUGGAAUGUUACUAAGUCAGCAGGGUCCUGGGAGGCCCGGGUCAGAGUUGAAGAGACAUAUGGCGGCAAAAGAGAGGUGUUUCUAUUUUUAUUUGUCCCUCUCCUAAAACCAUAUGAGGAAACUAAGGGUUUGACCAGAACAAGCUCGGUAUUUAAGGAGCUGUCUGUAUACGUUCGGGAGAGUUCUCUCAUUAUUCGGCUGGAGGCUCUCCAAGUAACUUGUUACUUGUUUACGAUACUGAACUUAUUGUAAUAAAUUUGUUAUACAACUAA